GGAAAGAUGGCGGCGGCUGCGGUUUGAAUUCCAGCGGCGCCGCUUGACUGAGAACAAGAGCUGGGUUGGAGGGGGCGGGACCUGGGGAACCGAGCGCGCCGCGACUGCGGGGUAACCAGUGGCGCUGCUGCUGCAGACACCGGUGCCACCUCUUUGUGUUCAUGAUGGACUCAGGGAUGGAAGAGGACGUCACCCUGCCUGGGACCCUCAGCGGCUGCAGCCUUGACUGGACAGAUGCUGCAUUCACUCCUGGUCAUUCAUCUCUUAACCUGCCCUAGGCCCUCCAGGUGCCUUGCCAUCUUCAGGAUGAAGUUCUGUACUGUGGCUUCCAAGUUUCUCUCUAAUCGGCUGCAUCUGUUCUCUAGCCUCACCCCCACCCCAUCUAUGGUUCCCAACUCUGGGUCUUCUCCAAGCCCUCAGCCCUGUGCCUGACUGCCAAGCUCUGUCAGGAAUGAUCUUACCGAAUUGUUUCUUGGUGCCAGGCUAUGUACGUGCUGUUCUUGCUGUGUCAGUUGCCCUUCCUAUGCCUUUUGCCUUAUUGAUACCCAGGUUCCACUGCUAGGAAAUCCACACUGACAUUCUCACCCUUGCUUGGGCCUUCUGUAAUGUUCUAGCUACCCUUACCUGUCACUGUCCUAACCUGGUUGACUGUGACCAGCGUAGAAAUACAACCUAUGGUGUAUAUUUAAUUAAAAACUUUCUUGUGAACUGGGUGUGGUAGUAUAUGCCUUGAAUCCCGGCAUUCGCGAAGUGGAGGCAGGUGGAUCUCAGACUUUAAGGCCAGCCUGGUCUAUAGAGAAAGUUCCAGGAUAACCAAGAAACCUUACACAGAGAAACCCUGUCUCGAAAAACCAAAACAACAACACUAAAAACUUUCUGGUAGUCACAAUU
rnacentral:lncRNA from 1 species